GACGAACGCUGGCGGCGUGCUUAACACAUGCAAGUCGAACGAUGAACCCGGAGCUUGCUCCGGUGGAUUAGUGGCGAACGGGUGAGUAACACGUGAGUAACCUGCCCUUGACUCUGGGAUAACUGCGGGAAACUGUAGCUAAUACCGGAUACGACCCUCGGCGGCAUCGCCAGGGGGUGGAAAGAAUUUCGGUCAAGGAUGGACUCGCGGCCUAUCAGCUAGUUGGUGAGGUAAUGGCUCACCAAGGCGACGACGGGUAGCCGGCCUGAGAGGGUGACCGGCCACACUGGGACUGAGACACGGCCCAGACUCCUACGGGAGGCAGCAGUGGGGAAUAUUGCACAAUGGGCGCAAGCCUGAUGCAGCAACGCCGCGUGAGGGAUGACGGCCUUCGGGUUGUAAACCUCUUCUAGUAGGGAAGAAGCGAAAGUGACGGUACCUGCAGAAAAAGCACCGGCUAACUACGUGCCAGCAGCCGCAGUAA
rnacentral:rRNA from 1 species